AAAGAAGAUCAAAACCGCGAUGCAGCUUAAUUAGUACACUCGCCGUACGCUUGUAUACUACUCCAUCUCGAAAGUUCAAGCACGCUACUGAUCCGUAGGGCUCCCAUGUCGCCGAGACUACUUCUCCGCCGCCGUCGCCGCGGCGCUCUCUCCCUGCCCUGAGAUCUCCGUUCGCCGGACCCGGGAUGGUCCUGCCGCGCCGGCGCGGCGGCCACAACCACCACCCGUGCCCGUGCCCGUGCCCGCGCCGCGCCGUUCUGCCGGCAGCGGCGCUACUGCUGCUCUUCCUCCUCGCCGCCGUCACGCUGCUCUACGUCUCUCCGCCGCCUCUGUCCGACCACCCGGCCCUCGCCUACUCCCGCCGCCGCUCCCCGCAUGCUCUGCUGAACAGCUCUGGUGGCGGCAGCCUAGUGGAGCCCGGGCGCCGCGAGAUUUCCCGGGUUCCAAAAGGUGGUUGGAUUGCGACAGAUGGCCUCUGGGGUUCGAAGCUCGCUAGCAAAUUCUAUGGGUGCAGCAACUCAAGCAGCAAGUUUCUUGAUUCAGGUGUUAUGACACAUCCAGACCAAUAUUUGAUGAUUGUUACAAGUGGAGGCCUCAAUCAACAGAGAACAGGGAUAAUUGAUGCUGUUGUUGCUGCACGUAUUUUAAAUGCAACACUCGUUGUUCCCAAAUUGGACCAAACCUCCUUCUGGAAAGAUGCAAGUGACUUUGCUGAAAUUUUUAACGCCGACUGGUUCAUCUCAUUUCUAUCAAAGGAUGUAAGGAUUGUGAAAGAGCUUCCAAAGAUAGGAGGUAAACUGUGGGCUCCUCAUAGAAUGCGUGUGCCCCGCAAAUGCACUCAGCGAUGUUACUUGAACCGUGUGUUGCCUGCACUUAUUAAGAAACAUGUUGUUCGACUAACAAAAUUUGAUUAUAGGCUAGCAAACAGGUUGGAUUCUGAUCUGCAAAAGCUGAGAUGCAGAGUUAACUACCAUGCAUUGAGAUUUACUGACCCAAUACAAGAAAUGGGUGAAAAGAUAGUACAGAGAAUGCGGGAGAGGAGCACAUAUUUUAUUGCUCUUCAUUUAAGAUUUGAACCAGAUAUGCUUGCCUUUUCUGGGUGCUACUACGGUGGUGGAGAAAAGGAGAGGAGAGAACUUGGUGUGAUACGGAAGAGAUGGAAAACCUUGCAUGCUAGCAAUCCAGAGAAAGAAAGAAGGCACGGUAGAUGCCCACUAACUCCUGAAGAGGUGGGGUUGAUGUUGAGGGCACUGGGCUACAGAAAGAAUGUUCAUAUUUAUGUUGCCUCUGGAGAUAUAUAUGGUGGGGCAAAGACAUUAGCACCCCUGAAAGCGCUCUUCCCCAAUCUUCAUACCAAAGAAACAGUAACAAGCAAAGACGAGCUGGCUCCGUUCUCAAAGUACUCAUCUCGCAUGGCCGCACUUGAUUUCAUUGUCUGUGAUGGAAGUGAUGCUUUUGUUACUAACAACAAUGGUAAUAUGGCCAAAAUUUUGGCUGGGCGAAGGAGAUAUCUUGGGCAUAAGAGAAUGAUCCGACCAAAUGCGAGAAGGCUCUACUCCUUAUUCUUGAGCAGAGGAAACAUGUCCUGGGAUGCAUUCUCCUCCAAAGUGCACAUGGCCCAGAAAGGAUUUAUGGGGGAGCCCAAAGAGCUGAGGCCAGGAAGGGGGGAGUUCCACGAGAACCCCUCGACAUGUAUAUGUGAAAACACCGAUCCCAAGACACCGACCAAACCUAACCCUCGAAGUGAGCAAGGAUUGAGUAAUGGCACCGAGGGUAUUAAAGCCAUUACAGAGCCCACAGUUGCUAAUCAUACCAACGAGGAGUUGGGAGGAUCCAGUGCGGAAGAAGAUGACACUAGCGAGGAGAAAGAAGACGACACUAGUGCGGAGAAAGAAGAUGGCGCUAGUGAAGAGAAAGAGGAGAUAGUUGACCCGGAAGUGGAGGAUGAUGCGUUGGUGAGACCAGAUGAUCCUGAGCUGGAGGAGGUUCUUUCAGAUUAGAGAUGAGUUACCCAGGCCAUAGGUAGAUGUUAACCAGCCGUCAGAGUUUUGGUGAGCAGCUGAUGGUUUUUUGCCCCUUUAAAUGUACAUAUUUUGUGUGCUGUGUAAAAUAACCCACCCCCCUUUCUACUCUAGUUAGCUUGAAGUGUAGCCUCGGCUUUCGUUAGUCCGGUAUCAUAGCGGCUGUGCGCUGAUCUCGUUGAGUUUGUAAUGUGUGUGGUAUGCUGUAGCAUGCGCUUGUUUGUGUUUUAUUCACUUUUCUGAAACUCUCUCUGGUGGUGUCUAAGAUGCACAUCUCUGGCUUAUUUUUGCAGCAUGGGCAUUUGAGCAGCACACCCGCGGAGUCUGCAUUUCAGCAAAUCAGCCAGGCCAAGAUACCUUCUGUCCGUUCAACUUGUUUAUGAAUGAGUCCUUAAAAAAGGGAUGAUUGCAGCCGAUGAAAUAUGGUGGGUUCUUUUGAUAUCCCAAUCACGUGCCAAAUGGCGUCCGUCCUCGCUCUGCUCCAGCCAACAGCAAGAUGCUACUCCCCCGACCUUAAUAUGGCACUCCUUUCGUUCCACAAUAUAAGAUCGUUACAAUAGAAACCGAGCUACUCUCUCGCUCAAGCCCUGAAACAUUUCAGCUCCGACGAGUAUUUUGUCCUUCAAUCUUUAGAGCAGCCUGGAUUGCGUUCUCUUCGAGGUUGAAGUGUUGAACAAAAAACAAAGCAAGUCCUCUACAACAAUCUCCAUGUCCAAGGUAGCACUACACUAUUCUCCUGUGAUCUAUCUAUCCAUGUAGGACGCUUGUAGCUUCCUGGGAGAUUCUUGCUCCUCCUUGUCCCUGCCUCUUGUAUCUACUACUAGUUCCUACUCAAGUUCCAAAGCCACAAGGCUUUUGGCAUGGAUUGGCCAGCCCAGCCGCCCAGGUCGGUCUCUUUGCACCCCGUGACCGUGAGCGGGAGCAGCUCAAGGAAAGUCUAUGUAUGUAGCAUGGGCUUGGAAUCGGAUCACAUGACAUGAUCACUGUUUCUCUGCUACUGCUUGCAGUGCCCGUGCUCCAUCCUCAACUUGUCAACGCUGUAUGCAUGCGUCGGUCCAUGGCCUUCUUCUUCCUGUUGUUUCAGGAAAGAAAAACCCUCCUUGAAUCAUUGUUACUACUAUUCUCACGGCCGCUAGCUGUGACUUGGGCGGUGCGUGAUCCAUCUCCAGUUUGAGCGUGACGUGGUAGCCAUGGCGGUCCACAUCUA
rnacentral:rRNA from 1 species